rfam:Arabidopsis lyrata subsp. lyrata unplaced genomic scaffold ARALYscaffold_7, whole genome shotgun sequence.
GCACCAACUCUACCAUGUGCAGAAACUAUGGUCUUGAGUUGCCUGUGAAUACGACCCACUGGAAACUAAAAUAAACAAAGAAACAGUAUCAGUGUGAAAUUUCAUAAAAUUAGAGUACAAAGAGACAUGAAAUUUCUUUGUUUACUUCAGUUUUUGAUGGGUCGUAUUCACAUGCAACUCAGGACCAGAGUAUCUACACAUGGUCGACUUGGUG